rnacentral:rRNA from 1 species
GACGAACGCUGGCGGCAUGCCUAACACAUGCAAGUCGAACGGAGAUUAUUUCGGUAUUCUUAGUGGCGAACGGGUGAGUAACGCGUGGGCAACCUGCCCUCUAGAUGGGGACAACAUCCCGAAAGGGGUGCUAAUACCGAAUGUGACAGCAAUCUCGCAUGAGGAUGCUGUGAAAGAUGGCCUCUAUUUAUAAGCUAUCGCUAGAGGAUGGGCCUGCGUCUGAUUAGCUAGUUGGUGGGGUAACGGCCUACCAAGGCGAUGAUCAGUAGCCGGUCUGAGAGGAUGAACGGCCACAUUGGGACUGAGACACGGCCCAGACUCCUACGGGAGGCAGCAGUGGGGAAUCUUCCGCAAUGGGCGAAAGCCUGACGGAGCAAUGCCGCGUGAGUGAUGAAGGAAUUCGUUCCGUAAAGCUCUUUUGUUUAUGACGAAUGUGCAGAUUGUGAACAAUGAUCUGUAAUGACGGUAGUAAACGAAUAAGCCACGGCUAACUACGUG